UUAAGCGACCAAGCGUACACGGUGGAUGCCCUGGCAGUCAGAGGCGAUGAAGGACGUGCUAAUCUGCGAAAAGCGCCGGUAAGGUGAUAUGAACCGCUACAGCCGGCGAUGUCCGAAUGGGGAAACCCAGUGUGAUUCGUCACACUAUCGUUAAGUGAAUCCAUAGCUUAACGAGGCGAACCGGGGGAACUGAAACAUCUAAGUACCCCGAGGAAAAGAAAUCAACCGAGAUUCCCCCAGUAGCGGCGAGCGAACGGGGAGCAGCCCAGAGCCUGCAUCAGCUUGUGUGUUAGUGGAAGCGUCUGGAAAGGCGCACGGUACAGGGUGACAGUCCCGUACACAAAAGCACACAGGCUGUGAGCUCGAUGAGUAGGGCGGGACACGUGGUAUCCUGUCUGAAUAUGGGGGGACCAUCCUCCAAGGCUAAAUACUCCUGACUGACCGAUAGUGAACCAGUACCGUGAGGGAAAGGCGAAAAGAACCCCGGCGAGGGGAGUGAAACAGAACCUGAAACCGUGUACGUACAAGCAGUGGGAGCACCUUCGUGGUGUGACUGCGUACCUUUUGUAUAAUGGGUCAGCGACUUAUAUUCUGUAGCAAGGUUAACCGCAUAGGGGAGCCGAAGGGAAACCGAGUCUUAACCGGGCGCUAAGUUGCAGGGUAUAGACCCGAAACCCGGUGAUCUAGCCAUGGGCAGGUUGAAGGUUGGGUAACACUAACUGGAGGACCGAACCGACUAAUGUUGAAAAAUUAGCGGAUGACCUGUGGCUGGGGGUGAAAGGCCAAUCAAACCGGGAGAUAGCUGGUUCUCCCCGAAAGCUAUUUAGGUAGCGCCUCGUGAAUUCAUCUCCGGGGGUAGAGCACUGUUUCGGCUAGGGGGCCAUCCCGGCUUACCAACCCGAUGCAAACUGCGAAUACCGGAGAAUGUUAUCACGGGAGACACACGGCGGGUGCUAACGUCCGUCGUGAAGAGGGAAACAACCCAGACCGCCAGCUAAGGUCCCAAAGUCAUGGUUAAGUGGGAAACGAUGUGGGAAGGCCCAGACAGCCAGGAUGUUGGCUUAGAAGCAGCCAUCAUUUAAAGAAAGCGUAAUAGCUCACUGGUCGAGUCGGCCUGCGCGGAAGAUGUAACGGGGCUAAACCAUGCACCGAAGCUGCGGCAGCGAACGUGAGUUCGUUGGGUAGGGGAGCGUUCUGUAAGCCGUCGAAGGUGUGCUGUGAGGCAUGCUGGAGGUAUCAGAAGUGCGAAUGCUGACAUAAGUAACGAUAAAGCGGGUGAAAAGCCCGCUCGCCGGAAGACCAAGGGUUCCUGUCCAACGUUAAUCGGGGCAGGGUGAGUCGACCCCUAAGGCGAGGCCGAAAGGCGUAGUCGAUGGGAAACGGGUUAAUAUUCCCGUACUCGGCGUUACUGCGAAGGGGGGACGGAGAAGGCUAUGUUGGCCGGGCGACGGUUGUCCCGGUUUAAGCGUGUAGGCUGAGCAUCCAGGCAAAUCCGGAUGCUUAAGGCUGAGGCGUGACGACGAGGCGCUACGGCGCUGAAGCAACAAAUGCCCUGCUUCCAGGAAAAGCCUCUAAGCAUCAGGUAACGCGGAAUCGUACCCCAAACCGACACAGGUGGUCAGGUAGAGAAUACCAAGGCGCUUGAGAGAACUCGGGUGAAGGAACUAGGCAAAAUGGUGCCGUAACUUCGGGAGAAGGCACGCUGGCGCGUAGGUGAGGGGACUUGCUCCCGGAGCCGAGGCCAGUCGAAGAUACCAGCUGGCUGCAACUGUUUAUUAAAAACACAGCACUGUGCAAACACGAAAGUGGACGUAUACGGUGUGACGCCUGCCCGGUGCCGGAAGGUUAAUUGAUGGGGUCAGCCGCAAGGCGAAGCUCCUGAUCGAAGCCCCGGUAAACGGCGGCCGUAACUAUAACGGUCCUAAGGUAGCGAAAUUCCUUGUCGGGUAAGUUCCGACCUGCACGAAUGGCGUAAUGAUGGCCAGGCUGUCUCCACCCGAGACUCAGUGAAAUUGAACUCGCUGUGAAGAUGCAGUGUACCCGCGGCAAGACGGAAAGACCCCGUGAACCUUUACUACAGCUUGACACUGAACACCGGUCCUUGAUGUGCAGGAUAGGUGGGAGGCUUUGAAGCGCGGACGCCAGUCCGCGUGGAGCCGCCCUUGAAAUACCACCCUUUAAUGGCUGGUGUUCUAACGCUGGCCCGUAAUCCGGGCUGCGGACAGUGUCUGGUGGGUAGUUUGACUGGGGCGGUCUCCUCCCAAAGCGUAACGGAGGAGUACGAAGGUCAGCUAAUCACGGUCGGACAUCGUGAGGUUAGUGCAAUGGCAUAAGCUGGCUUGACUGCGAGCGUGACGGCGCGAGCAGGUGCGAAAGCAGGUCAUAGUGAUCCGGUGGUUCUGAAUGGAAGGGCCAUCGCUCAACGGAUAAAAGGUACUCCGGGGAUAACAGGCUGAUACCGCCCAAGAGUUCAUAUCGACGGCGGUGUUUGGCACCUCGAUGUCGGCUCAUCACAUCCUGGGGCUGAAGUAGGUCCCAAGGGUAUGGCUGUUCGCCAUUUAAAGUGGUACGCGAGCUGGGUUUAGAACGUCGUGAGACAGUUCGGUCCCUAUCUGCCGUGGGCGCUGGAAGACUGAGAGGGGUUGCUCCUAGUACGAGAGGACCGGAGUGAACGCACCGCUGGUGUUCGGGUUGUCAUGCCAAUGGCACUGCCCGGUAGCUACGUGCGGAAGAGAUAAGUGCUGAAAGCAUCUAAGCACGAAACUUGCCUCGAGAUGAGUCUUCCCUGAGGCCUUUGAGCCUCCUGAAGGGACGUUGAAGACGACGACGUUGAUAGGCCGGGUGUGUAAGCGCAGCGAUGCGUUGAGCUGACCGGUACUAAUGACCCGUGAGGCUUAACCUU
rnacentral:rRNA from 1 species